rnacentral:misc_RNA from 1 species
AUUAUUGUAAUUUGAGUCUUAUGAGAAUCAUCUAAUAAUUUGUACAUACAUUGAAGCUUGGUAAAAUGCAUGUUUGUUUUAUUAUCGUCAUCUUCUGUCAUCUAAUUUCUCCGUGUAUUUCAAACGGUGGCCAGUGUGAUUCAAGUUCAAACAAUGACGGUACGUGUUGCAGUGAUUUUUAUAAAGAUUUAAAAUUUGGGACAUGUUUACCUUGCAUAGGAUCAUUUGGACAUAAUUGCUCUUUCCCUACCCUGAUGGGUAUUUCGGUCACGGAUGUCGACUGAAAUGUGACUGCAAUAUAACUGAAUCAUGUGAACCAGAGAUUGGUUGUACAAUUAGAUAUAUUGCUGAUAACAAAACAGAGUCAAAAACGAUCACAGACUUUGACAAGUCUGGGAGAAAAACAAUCCGAACAGCUCUUUUAAGUGGUUGUAGUUUAACCAUACUUGCCAUAUUGAUCGGGAUGUUUCUGAAAUGCCAUCGAGUCCUGCUACAAAGAUGCAAAGGAAUUCAAGAAAGCGGCGAUUGUAGAGAAGGUAAUGCACCUUAUGACUGUAUUGAACACUCAAUGGUGAGUGGUUAUCCUGUUAGAACAUCUUCUCGGAAUUACACUGUGCCUCCAGCUCUUAUAAAAGAAAACAAUGCCAAAACAGAUGCUGAAAGAAAAUCAAGCAAGCAGGACAUAGUAACUAAUUUAAGUCUAAAAUGUAAACACGAGUACGUGUGAUCACAAGAGAGAGAGGCUGACAAAAGAAAUGAGGGUCAAAAUCAAAGUCAGACAACAUUGCGUGACUAAGUGAAAAUUAUAUUAAAAUCUCUUUUAAACAAUAAACGAAAAUAAG